rnacentral:rRNA from 1 species
GACGAAGGGGGCUAGCGUUGUUCGGAAUUACUGGGCGUAAAGCGCGUGUAGGCGGUUGUCCAAGUUGGAUGUGAAAGCCUUGAGCUCAACUCAAGAAAUGCAUUCAGGACUGGAUGGCUAGAGGACCGGAGAGGAUAGUGGAAUUCCCAGUGUAGUGGUGAAAUACGUAGAGAUUGGGAAGAACACCAGUGGCGAAGGCGGCUAUCUGGACGGUUUCUGACGCUAAGACGCGAAAGCGUGGGGAGCAAACAGG